rnacentral:lncRNA from 10 species
UAAACAGCCAGACUGUUGGCCAGAUCAGCUGCAGGGAGGUCAGGGUCAUCAGUGCAGCAAGUGGUAAGGUUGGGUUGUCAGUGCAGCUGAACUUGUGCAAUUGGUUGAAGCUUCAGAGACAUUGAAAUCCCAAGCCAAAGAACUGAAAGAUGCCCAUCAGCAGCAAAAGCUGGCCCUGCAGGAGUUCUUGGAGCUCAAUGAGCUCAUGGCAGAGCUCUACUCCCAGAAGCAGAAGGUGUGGGACAAGGAGGAGGAGAUGGAAGUAGCCAUGCAGAAAGCUGACAUGAUGUGGCAGGAGAUCUGAAGAUCCAAGAAGCUCAGAAAGAGGAUGCUGUUUAGCCAGAUGUGGUGGCUCACGCCUGUAAUCCCAGCACUUUGGGAGGUCGAGGCGGGUGGAUGGCCUGAGGUCAGGAGUUUGAGACCAGCCUGGCCAACAUGGUGAAACCCCGUCUCUAUUAAAAAUGCAAAAACUAACCAGGCAUGGUAUUGGGUGCCUGUAAUCCUAGCUACUUGGGAGGCUGAAGCAGGAG